rnacentral:rRNA from 1 species
GAUGAACGCUGGCGGCGUGCUUCAUACAUGCAAGUCGAACGAGAAUCUGUAGCUUGCUACAGAGGAAAGUGGCGGACGGGUGAGUAAUACAUAGGGAAUCUGCCCUUAGGUGGGGGACAACAGUUGGAAACGGCUGCUAAUACCGCAUAAUGCAUCAAUUUCGCAUGUUAUUGAUGCCAAAGGAGCAAUCCGCCUUUAGAUGAGCUCGCGUCUGAUUAGCUAGUUGGCGGGGUAACGGCCCACCAAGGCGACGAUCAGUAGCCGGACUGAGAGGUUGAACGGCCACAUUGGGACUGAGACACGGCCCAG